rnacentral:lncRNA from 1 species
UAGCUUUUUUUUUUUUUUUUGCCUUAGGCAAAAGCUUUAAUAAAGGAAUAGGUCUAUUGCAACAAAGGAAACAGCAGCGAACACUGAGAGAAGAACACAUCGUAACCGCAUUAAUGUCAGUGGGAGUUUACCUUCAUCUUCAAUGGGAACAGGACUUCAAAGAGAGAGGAGUCACUCGUAAAAGCUGAAGGAUAAAAUCCGAACCUUCCGCGGUCUAUGACACAAACUUUGUUCAGAGAGUGGUAGUGCAGUCCCAACACGGUGGAAAUGUCCCCAGCAGCAGUUUCCCAUCAUGGUUUGACCACAGCCUCAUCCACAGCGCUGCUAAGGUGGCUGUUAGGAGCGAGGUUUAUUAAAAACAGCUUUUGGACUAGAAGAAAAGCACUUAUAUUGGAACAGAUAAUUGGAUUCCUUUCACCCAUAGUACCACAUCCCAGAUGGCUUAAUACUGAAGAGCAUUCUAAGAAGUCCUAAAUAUGGAUCUAUAAUGGAAUGAAAGAUCCUGAGCCCAAAGCAAAGUAAAUCACUGUCCCUUAAAAAAGACUGCUUCCUCAUGAGGUGGUGUUAUGGACUGGCUGCUCUCUACGUGCCGCUGGAGGAGCGCUCAGAGAAACAACAGAACAGCCAGUGGAUGCAGUGAUAUUCAUCCUUGUCAGGUGGCACUGUUCCCAGGAAUACCGAGCAAAAUUUUGCUGAAUGAAGAAGUGAGAAUAGAACUGUAAAACUCAGCCUCAGCCUGGAUAAAAGUGCAGACUGGAAAAUCAUGCAUUAAAAAGCAUCUAGGAGAAUGAUGUGAUAAAAAUACUCAGCAGAGAUCUGCAAAGAGACUACAAUCAACUGAGCGGUAUAUUCUAGGCAAUUUAAAAAAAGGUAAGCAGAAUCUGGUCUUGAUGAAUAACUUG